UACAGAGGGCCGGCCGCUGGCAACAUCGGUCCAAUCCUUAAAGUCAUCCUCAGUUCGGACUGGGGUCUGCAACCCGACCCCACGAAGCUGGAUUCGCUAGUAAUCGCGCAUCAGCCAUGGCGCGGUGAAUACGUUCCCGGGCCUUGUACACACCGCCCGUCAAGCCAUGGAAGCCGGGAGUGCCUGAAGUGCGUGAGCGCAAGCAGCGCCCUAAGGUAAAACCGGUGACUGGGGCUAAGUCGUAACAAGGUACC
rnacentral:rRNA from 1 species